rnacentral:rRNA from 1 species
AUAUUCAAUAGCCGCAAAAUUUAUGUGCUAAGGUAGCAUAAUCAUUUGUUUUUUAAUUAAAAACUAGAAUGAAAGGUUAUACAUUCAAAUUUCUUUAUUAAUUUUUAAUAAAUAAUUUAUAUUAAAUAUAAAAAUAUAUUUAUAAAAAAAAAAGACGACAAGACCCUAUUAAAUUUUACUUAUAGUUUAGCUGGGGAAGCUUUCCAAUUAAAAUUUUUUAAAUUAAAUAAAUAAAAAUCUAAUAAAAUUAAAAUUUUAAUAAAUUACUAUAGGGAUAACAGCAUUAUAUUUUUUUAAAGUUCAUAUUAAAAAAAAUGAUUGUGACCUCGAUGUUGAAUUAAUAUUUUCUAUAUUAAUGCAAUAAUUAUAAAAGUAGAUCUGUU